GACGAAGGAUGCAAGCGUUAUCCGGAUUCAUUGGGUUUAAAGGGAGCGUAGGUGGACUUGUAAGUCAGUGGUGAAAUCUUUGGGCUUAACCCAGAAACUGCCAUUGAUACUGCAGGUCUAGAGUACAGUUGCCGUUGGCGGAAUAUGACAUGUAGUGGUGAAAUACUUAGAUAUGUCAUAGAACACCGAUUGUGAAGGCAGCUAACGAAGCUGUAACUGACACUGAGGCUCGAAAGUGCGGGGAUCAAACAGG
rnacentral:rRNA from 1 species